UCCGGCUUGACGCCGGCAGUCCCCGUAGAGUCCCCAACCAAAUGCUGGCAACAUGGAACGAGGGUUGCGCUCGUUGCGGGACUUAACCCAACAUCUCACGACACGAGCUGACGACAACCAUGCACCACCUGUGAACCGGCCCCAAAGGGGAAACCACAUUUCUGCGGCGAUCCGGCCCAUGUCAAGCCUUUGUAAGGUUCUUCGCGUUGCAUCGAAUUAAUCCGCAUGCUCCGCCGCUUGUGCGGGCCCCCGUCAAUUCCUUUGAGUUUUAGCCUUGCGGCCGUACUCCCCAGGCGGGGCACUUAAUGCGUUAGCUACGGCGCGGAUCCCGUGGAAGGAAACCCACACCUAGCGCCCACCGUUUACGGCGUGGACUAC
rnacentral:misc_RNA from 1 species